UAAGUGGGAAACGAUGUGGGAAGGCCCAGACAGCCAGGAUGUUGGCUUAGAAGCAGCCAUCAUUUAAAGAAAGCGUAAUAGCUCACUGGUCGAGUCGGCCUGCGCGGAAGAUGUAACGGGGCUAAACCAUGCACCGAAGCUGCGGCAGCGACACUAUGUGUUGUUGGGUAGGGGAGCGUUCUGUAAGCCUGUGAAGGUGUGCUGUGAGGCAUGCUGGAGGUAUCAGAAGUGCGAAUGCUGACAUAAGUAACGAUAAAGCGGGUGAAAAGCCCGCUCGCCGGAAGACCAAGGGUUCCUGUCCAACGUUAAUCGGGGCAGGGUGAGUCGACCCCUAAGGC
rnacentral:rRNA from 1 species